CUCUUGUGUGCAGUGGCGUAAAACUAAGCUUAAGUCAGUCAUUCAUGUAAUACUCCUGUCUGUGCUUAGUUAAUGCAAACAAAGUGCACGGCAUAUCUGGUUUUCGAUAUUUCAAACCGAUCGUACUGAACGAAGAGCUCAUGAUUGAAGAGAAGCCGACUGAGACAAACUGAAAAAAGGCUAUCGGCGAACAAAGGAUUGCAAAUAACAUCUGCACCAGAAAUGGCGACUUCUUCACCCUCACCAAUGGCAAGCUCUGUAGAGAAGACAAACGGUGCCAAAGCAGACUUCUUAUUGAUGGCGGAACAACGGUUCUAAGGAACGUUUUUGUUACAACUCGACCUAACCUGAGAUAAACAUUUCAGACAGCCUGAAACAUCUGCAGCCCAUCCAGAUUGAAGAAAACCAAGAAGAGAACUCAAGAGACAUUAAUCAUUUCUUUGAAAUGAGUCUAGGGUUUCAAAUUGAGGAGGAGCAUAAGGAGGCUCUUUUAAAGAAACUGGCUGAUAAAUCUGAAGGCGUCUUUCUCUAUGCUUAUUUCCUUGUGGAUUUUAUGAAUGAGAACGCUUCUGUUUUAACUCUAAAUCAGCUGGAAAGUAUUUUACCAUUAGGCAUUGCAUCUGUUUAGCUCUCCAAUUUUAAGCGGUUAGAGAGUGAACUUUGUAAAGAGCUAAAGAUAGAAGAGGAGGAAGUCUUGCGAUUUGUGUCUGCAUUAAGUGCUUCCAGAGAACCCCUACCGAUUAAAUUUGCUUAAAGAAUCUUAGGCCCCCGAGACAUUUCUUUGGUUGUUCGGUGACGAGUUGUCAAGGUAAUUGUAUGCGUAUCCAACCUACUCCCAGUCCGGGAUGGUCGCCUUCACUUCCUUCGCAAGUCGAUAAAGGACUGGUUGACCAGUACAUCAGGCUAUGGUCAACAUGAUUUCACUGCGGAUGAGAGGGUAGGUCACGCGAUCCUUCUCCGACUUUGUUCAACUGAGCUGGAGGGUCUCAAGCAAAAAGGGCUUUUUAAUCUUGAAUUUAACAAAAUGGAGGAGUACGCACUGCAACAUUGUAUCCAGCAUAGAUUGACUCAAAGGAAUUGAGUGAGAUGUCAGCGUCGUGCAAAUUGGAAGAGUUUCUUAAUAGUUACGUUAUUGAUCUUGGGAUCAUUUAUGCCAAAUUUCGCGUCAAUACGAUGACUCCCACAACUGAUCUUUUAGCUGUUAGGAAACAAUUCCAAAGAACUGUGCUCGGCGAAAGAAGCUGUUUCCUUCUAGAUGCUCUGUGGAAAGUGCUCAAGAAAGUCCUGUACAUUCUGAAAGACCACCCUCAUCUUUUCUUCCAAUGUAUUGUUAAUGGAGGAUGUCUAAAAGAGCUGACCUCAAAAGCAGAAGAGAUUCUUGAAAGUGAGAGAACAAUUUCACACAUGAAAUUGUUGUUCGAGGAAGAAGAAGAAGAAGAAGAAAGAAAUGAUGCAGAUCAAACCAGAUAUCAGUGUUCCGACACAUUAGCAUGUUUUGACGUGUCACCUGAAAAGGACUACAUGGUUUAGGACUGUCGAGACGGAGCAAUUUACAUGUGGUGCCUGGAAACGGGUAAUCUACUGCGGAUUCGUCGCUCUGAGAUCAAAAGAUUUUUACUUAGGUAGGCCUUUGAUUGUGGCUAUCGUCAGGUCGGAAGAUGUUUAUCUUUCUUCAACUCUGUUGUUUUUCAUCCAAAUGGCUCGUGGAUAUUACCUGGCACCCUGACAAAUGUAUACGAUCUUAGAGGAGACAAGAUUGAUCUCUUCCCCAAUACCAAAUGUACAUUCUCACUUUGUGUUUUCUCUGGAGACAAGACAUUUAUGAUUACAUUUUGCCCAGAGGAGCCAAAGCAAAUUUCAGUAUGGAGUAUGCAGAAUGGUGACGAACUAAACCGUAUUGAGUGGACAGAACCCAUUGCAUCUUAACAAUAUUUCCCCUGAUGGAAGGCUGACUGCCAUCUCUAGCUAUGACGGACCUUGUAGCACUAGCUCUAUUUAUGUUAGUGAUGCUGAAAAUCGCCGUCGCUUGGAUUUGAUCAAGCCAUUCAAUGAUUUCGAUGUGUGUGGAUUGGUGCAUUUUACGUCUGAUAGUACCACCCUUGCCUGCGGUCUCCUUUCUUUGAACUCGGCGACCUACGAAAUAUCUUGGGACUUAAUUUUCACGAGAAGACCACGAUUUUACCUUUUGACUUUAACUGGUAUAGUUGAUCAGUCUACUUCAUCAGAAAGUAAUGAGAUUGCAUGUAAAUCGGGAACACUCGUGUUGUGGCCUACAGAAUCGCAUUUAACGAGGGAAGAUGACUAUCUGGAGCAGAAACUGACUUCUUGCUGGGUACGAGGUUUGCCUAAGGUUUUUUUCGUUCCUUCUGACAGGAAUGUAGUUCAGGCUUAUCGAUGACAUAGUUUUGAUUGGCAGCCCAAGUUAUAACUAUCUGGCGACAGUUAAAACUAAGGUACUAGAUGAUGCGGCUUUUCCUCGUUUGGACUACGAUGACCUUAGUGACCUUGAUCUGUGUAAUCGUGAUGGGAGUGUCAUGAAAUUCGAAAUGCCAGUUGCAGGAUAAUUUGCUUCAUCUUUUACAAUCCUGGGUCCCGGAGAUGGAUAUAGUUAUACAGUCUCGUUUAACAGCCAGGGUCAAUGUUUAGUUUGUACCUUCGAGACCAUCCCUCUUUAACAUACAUUUUGGGAAGACUAGUUGGUCACCGUCACUUUUUGGAACAACGGCUCCAUUGUGUGGAGGAGAAGCACGGUCUGUCGGGACCAGUUAUCACGCCCGCAUUUCGUAUUUUCACCAAGAGACGACAUUGUUGCUGCGUGGAACUUUCUUGAUGGGGGUUUUGGCCUACACAUUCUUGACGUAGACACUGGCAAAACAACAAACACCUUUUUGAAAGACCGCUCCGACAUUGCUCACUCUAAGUUUGUUGACGAUAAAUGUCUACUGGCAUGCUGCGUUCAGGAUACCUUUUAUCGAUUGUUGAAUGUCAGAUCAGGGAAACUUCUGAGCAUGCUAGAGCUCGGGGAACGGCCCGUCUGCUUAGGAGCCUCCGUGGAGAGUUUUCUCGUGGCCGUUGGUUUGAAGAACAGAAUGAAGUUCCUCCAUGUUUGGUUACCAAAGAUGAAAGAAGAAACAAAGAAGAAAGGUGAGAUUUUGGUUGGAUGAGAACCCUGUUGGCGUCGUGCGAGUUUGUUUUAAUCUAUCAGGGACACCCUUGACAUGCACCACGUUCGACCCUAGGAACUGAAUCCGCUGGCUUUUGGCAACUUGAGAACAACUUGAUGAUCCAGUGAUGGUUGAGUACGCUUGCAGUUAUCUUGUAAGAAGAGGAGAAGCACGUAUGGACUUAAGAAUGAAACCUUGGAACCAGUAUCAUAACGGAAAGCACGAAAGACUUCAUUUCUGUCACAGAAAAACUUUUAUUUUCUGCCGUCGCGGUUACAAAACCCUUUUGAAGAGAAAAACCUGGUACGCUAAAUCUAAUAAGUAUCCCUAGGUUUGGAAAAUUGAUUAUUGUGAAGUUUGGAAUAAAAAAAAUAGUAGAAAGGACAACAGAACCAAUUACAUUAAUGAGAAAUUUUUUAAGCCGUAACCAAGGUUUUAAACAAGUCUCAGAUGAAAUCGUGCGAGGGCUAUAUUCUGUACCCCAAUUCCGAGCGAAAAACCCAAGUAAAAAGACAAUUAAGUUUACAACCGUAAAAUUCCUUUGUUUCCGCGCAGAAGCUUAGGGCCAUGACGCAAAGCAGUCAAUAAAGUCGUACAAAAGUAACUUGUGCGACAAUCUCGCGCAAGUUAACCGCGAAAGGAAGUGCGAAAAAUCUGAGAAUAAUUUUUAGGGAUUCAUAUUUAUUACACGUUUGACACUUGAUACGUGGGAGAGCUGAAAUCUGAUAAGUGAUUUGCAUAAUUGUAGUGCGACCCAAUCUGGCCUUUUGUUGUCAC